rnacentral:tRNA from 1 species
GGCCCUAUCGUCUAGUGGUUAGGACGCCAGGUUCUCAUCCUGGCAACAGGAGUUCGAUUCUCCUUAGGGCUACCA